rnacentral:rRNA from 1 species
GACGUAGGGCGCGAGCGUUGUCCGGAUUUAUUGGGCGUAAAGAGCUCGUAGGCGGCUUGUUGCGUCGACCGUGAAAACCCGUGGCUUAACUGCGGGCUUGCGGUCGAUACGGGCGGGCUGGAGUUCGGUAGGGGAGACUGGAAUUCCUGGUGUAGCGGUGAAAUGCGCAGAUAUCAGGAGGAACACCGGUGGCGAAGGCGGGUCUCUGGGCCGAUACUGACGCUGAGGAGCGAAGGCCAGGGGAGCAAACGGG